UACGGAGGAUGCAAGCGUUAUCCGGAUUUAUUGGGUUUAAAGGGAGCGCAGACGGGUCGUUAAGUCAGCUGUGAAAGUUUGGGGCUCAACCUUAAAAUUGCAGUUGAUACUGGCGUCCUUGAGUGCGGUUGAGGUGUGCGGAAUUCGUGGUGUAGCGGUGAAAUGCUUAGAUAUCACGAAGAACUCCGAUUGCGAAGGCAGCACACUAAGCCGUAACUGACGUUCAUGCUCGAAAGUGUGGGUAUCAAACAGGAUUAGAUACCCUGGUAGUCACUGACU
rnacentral:rRNA from 1 species